GAUGAACGCUAGCUACAGGCUUAACACAUGCAAGUCGAGGGACCGGCGCACGGGUGAGUAACACGUAUCCAACCUGCCCUUUACUCGGGGAUAGCCUUUCGAAAGCGAGAUUAAUACCCGCUGUUAAGGCUGGGGGUGCGUUCCUUUAGGUUGUUGGUGAGGUACCGGCUCACCAAGCCUUCGAUGGCUAGGGGUGCUGAGAGGAAGGUCCCCCCCAUUGGAACUGCGACCCUGUCCAAACUCCUACGGGAGGCAGCAGUGGCGAAUAUUGUUCAAUGAGCUUUGGCCUGACCCAGCCACGUAGCGUGAAGGAUGAAGGCUUAUGGGUCGUAAACUUCUUUUAUAUAAGAAUCUGUAUUAUAUGAAUAAGGAUCGGCUAACUCCGUGCCAGCCGCCGCGGUAAUUC
rnacentral:rRNA from 1 species